GGCGGAUCACAAGGUCAGGAGAUUGAGACCAUCCUGGCGCUAACACGGUGAAACCCCGUCUCUACUAAAAAUACAAAAAAUUAGCCGGGCAUGGUGACGGGCGCCUGUGGUCCCAGCUAUUCAGGAGGCUGAGGCAGGAGAAUGGCGUGAACCCGGGAGGUGGAGCUUGCAGUGAGCCGAGAUCGUGCCACUGCACUCCAACCUGGGCGACAGAGCAAGACUCCAUCUAAAAAAAAAAAAAAAAAAGAAAGGAGUGGAAGAGAAAAGAGGCACCAAAUCUGAGUAUAAAUGACUGAAUACAUUGUUACAUGUGCCAAGAUUGAUACCGACCAUUUAUCUACCUCCUGGUGUAUUCCAGAGAUUAUAAGCAUGAUUAAUAGGUAUCACAAUAUCAUACUACAAUGAAGAAACUAAGGUUAAGUUUUAGCAAGAUUAAAUAAAUUGCAUAUCAUCCCAUGGUUAGUAAAUGAUUGAAGCAGGAUAUAAAGUCAGGAGAUUCAAAGGUUUUACACCUCACUGUCUUUUGAUAGUACUGCUGACAAACUAGGGAAGUUGGGUAAGUUAACUUGUCAGGAAUGGAAGGAUAAGUUACCCAAUUACGUGGAGACAUGGUAACUGAAGAGCUGAUAAAUCAUCAUCCAUCCAGCCAUCCCUCCAUCCAUCUUUCUAUUCUUUCUUUCAAUCAGUAAUACAGCAAAUCUUUGUGAAACACCUACUAUAUGCCAAACACUGGAAAAUCAACAGUGAACAAAGGAAAAGUUGUCCUUGUCCUGCAGAAGCUUCUGGAAAGGACACAAGUGCAGCGAGGAACGGCAACGUGGCUAGGGCCACCUAGCUAGUUGGUAGCACAAAAGGUAUAAGAACCCCAGCCUGACUCUUCGUUCAGCGCUCUUGCCACUGUGUUGUGCUGACCUGCUGUGAUCCUGAACAACCUCUCCCCGAAGGCAGAAGCCAUCAGCUUUUCUUGCCAAGAAGUUCCUUCUAUCACACCUAAAUUCCGUCGAACACAGCUUCAGCCAGCUUGGAAAUAGCCUUUCUGUUGGGACAUUUCCAAAUCCCAGGUUUAGAGGUUCUUCCAUCUGGCAGGUGUCAAAGAAGACAACAGGAAC